rnacentral:rRNA from 1 species
UACGUAGGGGGCAAGCGUUGUCCGGAUUUAUUGGGCGUAAAGAGCGUGUAGGCGGCUUGGUAGGUCUCGCGUCAAAACCUGAGGCUCAACCUCAGUUCGCGUGGGAAACCACCUAGCUAGAGUCCGGAAGAGGAGAACGGAAUUCCCAGUGUAGCGGUGAAAUGCGCAGAUAUUGGGAAGAACACCAGUGGCGAAGGCGGCGACCUGGGUAGAUACUGACGCUGAGGUGCGAAAGCGUGGGGAGCAAACAGG